UACGUAGGGUGCGAGCGUUGUCCGGAAUUACUGGGCGUUAAGAGCUCGUAGGUGGUUUGUCGCGUUGUUCGUGAAAACUCACAGCUUAACUGUGGGCGUGCGGGCGAUACGGGCAGACUGGAGUACUGCAGGGGAGACUGGAAUUCCUGGUGUAGCGGUGGAAUGCGCAGAUAUCAGGAGGAACACCGGUGGCGAAGGCGGGUCUCUGGGCAGUAACUGACGCUGAGUAGCGAAAGCGUGGGGAGCGAACAGG
rnacentral:rRNA from 1 species